rnacentral:piRNA from 1 species
UCCCCUGGGACGGCCCUCACGACUGGAC